rnacentral:misc_RNA from 1 species
AACAUGUAAAAUGAACCAUUUUAAACUGCAAACUCAACAAAAUGUUUGUCAAUUUAUAACUGUAGGAUAAAAUAGCAGGUACUUCGCAGUUGAUGACCUUUAUCUGAUUAGAUAUUGGGAAGUGUGCGGCGUAUAACUGAGUGCCAUUUUAGGAUGAAGGCCUGGAUUACUUGAAGGACAUACAUUCAAAACACAUAUAUUUUUCAAGGGAACCAGCCACCAUGGAAAGAAUCCGAAUGUUAUUUGAGCAAAAUCAACACCUUGUUUCAGGAUUUCUGGAUAAUUUUUAUCAAGAAACAGACCUAUUUGGGACAGCAAGCUCGAAUGAUGCUAUCAAGAUAUUACAAACACAGACAGGUAAGAACUCAGGAGAAAUGUCACAGGCAGCUGUUGAGGACAAUGCUACGUCUUCCCAGAGAUGUCAGGGCAAAGCGAUUGAUAAAGGUGAAAACUCAGCAGACAUGUCAAAGGCAGCUGUUGAAGGCAAUGUUAGUUCUCCUCAAAGACAUCAGAGCAAAGCAAUUGAUGAAGAUGAAAACCCGGGAGAGGUGUCACAGGUAGCUGUUGAGGACAAUGCAAGUUCUCAAAGACAUCAGAGCAAAUCAGUUGAUGAAGAUGAAAACUCAUCAGGAGUGUUAGAAGCAGCUGUUGAAGAUAAUGUUACUUCUUUUCAAAGACAUCAGAGCAAAUCAAUUGAUAAAGAUAUCUCGGCGAAGAAAAAGUACAGAUGUGUCGAAGAUGCCGGAAAAUGCUACUAUCGUUCAAGCAGAAAGAGCUACGGUGCAGCUUUUCAGUUCAUAUAUUGGAAAUACAAUAAAGGAUAUAGAAGUGCAUUUUAUAGAAUUGCUAAUGAAGAAGCUGAAAAAUGCCAAUUUUGUCAAAUGCAACGAACUCAAAGACAUAGAUUGGGAAAAAGAUGCUAAUUGUUCUGUGUAUCAUUUCAUCUAGAGUAGCAACAGACGCAGCGUACGCUAUAAAAGACAUUAAAAAUCCAGCAAACACUGUUCUCAUGUCAUGCCUUGCCCAAACUUACCAGUUCAUUUGUCCUUACUGACCAGGAAUUCCAGAAUUUAGGAUGCGUAUUUGAUUUGGCGUUUUUUGAAAGAAGAGGAAUAUAUCAAUGUGAAAUGAACGACAUUGCUUUAGAUAAAGUCUGCACCUUCAUAAAGAAAAACUGGGGAGACACAAACUGAUGGCAUGAUAGUCAUUUAGAGUGCUAAAGAUAUAGAUCUACAGAGGGCCUAAAUAAUUCUGACUUCGUAAGCAAAUUAGUGGUGAAUUAUUUCACACAAUUACUUAAAUACAUAUGGUAAUUUAUCAGUUAGACAAUCUGUUGCAAUUUAAUUGUUGAUAAAUUUUAGAGAAAAUAACUCGUCGAUUGCUAGUUUAAAGUUUUUUUUUCAUUAAUAUGUGAAACCUUGUAUUCUAAAUGAACACUUGUACAAUUUGAUACUGUUUAAAUUCAAAGAAAGUUUUGUUUGUUCAAAGAAGCAAGUAUAUGAAUUAUGCCAAUUAGUCAUAGAUAAAAAUGUGUAAGAGUGUUUAGUUCUUAUAACUUUGCAACUCUAAAAACGUUAUUUUGACACAUUAAGGUAUACAUCACGAUUUGUUGAGUACUAAAGCCCAAAGCGCUACUCAUAUUUGGGUUUGAGAACAGGUUUUUCGAUAGAUAUCCGUCAAUUUCAAACUGCAAUCAUAGAUAACCUGAUUUAGAUAUUUUAUUUUGUAAACCAGUCUAUAAUUGACUCAUUUGACUGAGAACUUGCUCGGGAGAUUGUACCACAUAAACAUAUUUUAAUACA